AGCGAGAGGAAAUACUUGGUAC
rnacentral:siRNA from 1 species